ACGGGGGUGCUAAUACAUGCAGUCGAUGCGAACAGAAGGGAGCUUGCUCCCGGAUGUUAUGCGGCGGACGGGUGAGUAACACGUGGUGUAACCUGCCUGUAAGACUUGGGAUAACUCCGGGAAAACCGGCAGUCUGAAUUACCCGGAAUAGUUCCUAUGGAUACCGACAUGNGCUUCANGGAUGAAAGACAGGUUAUCAGUGCUUGUCACUUACUAAGAUGGACCCGCCGCGUGCAUUAGUCUAGUUGGUGNGGGUAAUGGCUCACCAAGGCGACGAUGCGUAGCCGACCUGAGAGGGUGAUCGGCCACACUGGGACUGAGACACGGCCCAGACUCCUACGGGAGGCAGCAGUAGGGAAUCUUCCGCAAUGGACGAAAGUCUGACGGAGCAACGCCGCGUGAGUGAUGAAGGUUUUCGGAUCGUAAAGCUCUGUUGUUAGGGAAGAACAAGUGCGAGAGUAACUGCUCGCACCUUGACGGUACCUAACCAGAAAGCCACGGCUAACUACGUGCCAGCAGCCGCGGUAAUACGUAGGUGGCAAGCGUUGUCCGGAAUUAUUGGGCGUAAAGGGCUCGCAGGCGGUUUCUUAAAGUCUUGAUGUGAAAGCCCCCGGCUCAAACCCGGGGAGGGUCAUUGGAAACUGGGGAAACUUUGAGUGCAGAAAGACGGAGAGGUGGAAUGUCCCCCGUGUAAGCGGGUGAAAAUGCGUAACAGAUGUGGAGGAACACCAGUGGACGAAAGCGACUCUCUGGUCUGUAAUGACGCUGAGGANCGAAACGUGGGGACGAACAGAUUAAUACCUCGGUNUCCANCCGUAAAAC
rnacentral:rRNA from 1 species